UACGUAGGGUGCGAGCGUUAAUCGGAAUUACUGGGCGUAAAGCGUGCGCAGGCGGUUUUGCAAGCCGGAUGUGAAAUCCCCGGGCUCAACCUGGGAAUGGCAUUCGGGACUGCAAGGCUGGAGUGCGGCAGAGGAGACUGGAAUUCCUGGUGUAGCAGUGAAAUGCGUAGAUAUCUGGAGGAACACCGGUGGCGAAGGCGGCAUCCUGGACCAACACUGACGCUGAUGAGCGAAAGCCAGGGGAGCAAACGGG
rnacentral:rRNA from 1 species